rnacentral:piRNA from 1 species
UCAAGGUAGCUGGACACCGUC